rnacentral:lncRNA from 1 species
UCUUCAUGCGCUGACUGAAGGAACCACUUGCUGCUGCUGCUGCUGCUUCUCUGGUCUCCCUUUCAUUUCCUUGGCCUUUGGUUUCGGCGGAGUGCCUGCCGCCUUUGCUCUCUGCUCCUUCGGCGCCGCUUUCUUCUGAUCGCUUGGAGGUGAUGGUGAUGGCUUCUUCUGAUCAAUAGGUGAUGGUGAUGGCUUCUUCUGAUCAAUAGGUGAUGGUGAUGGCUUUUUCUGAUCAGCGGUUAACGGUGAUGGCUUUUUCUUAGAGGUUUUCCGGUCAUUGACGUUGUUGCUUAGGGUGAUGGAGCCUUGCAGCUUCAGAGCCGAUGGGUUUGUGUUGCUGUUAUCCUUCUUUGCCUGUGCUUUCUUCGGGUUCUCGGGGUGGACCAGGGACCGCGGCUCCCAUGGCCUUGCAGCUAUCCAGCGGUCCAUCCAGCUCCAGCCCCAGCCACCCUUCCCGACUUCAUA